rnacentral:snoRNA from 1 species
AAGACUAUACUUUCAGGGAUUGUAGUUCUAGAGUUCGUUUCUAGUGAAAUUACUCUAAUUGUGUAGUGCACCCGAAACCACGAGGAGGAGUGGGGCAUAGAGCAUGCCCUCCUGAGCCGGAAGCAGGUUCUGGGUGUUGCUUCUGCAACUGCCUCUACCAUCAACAAUCGUUCUUCUCUUCCCUUGGAAGAGGGAGAGGAGAGAAUGCACGCUAAGUGG